UACGUAGGGUGCGAGCGUUAAUCGGAAUUACUGGGCGUAAAGGGCGCGUAGGUGGCGGCCCAAGUCCAUGGUGAAAGCUCGAUGCUCAACAUCGAGUCGGCCACGGAUACUGGGUUGCUCGAGCACUGUAGGGGCAGAUGGAAUUCCGGGUGUAGCGGUGGAAUGCGUAGAGAUCCGGAAGAACGACCGGUGGCGAAGGCGGCUACCUGGACCGGAACUGACGCUGAGGCGCGAAAGCGUGGGAGCAAACGGG
rnacentral:rRNA from 1 species